GGAAAGCCGGAGGUGCCCUGUGCAAGGUCAGAAGCACUCAGUGUGUAAUAAGAGGGAGGGAGUGCAGCGGCCAUUAUCUUCCCUGUGACAGCGCGGCAGUGCAGUGACCUGGCAUGCCAACAAAUGGAGGGGAAAACUUGCCAAGAUGUAAAUCCCCACUCCAGUCCCCAGGGGAACAGGGAAUCUGCAGGAUAAAAAUGCACUGGUCUGGAAGAACCAGCCCCACCAAGAUCAGAAAUGACAGGGAGAGUUUGGGAAGGUCAGUAGGGGGCAGCAGAGCGUUGCGGCACAAGGACGCUCAUUACUCAGUGGUUGCUGGUCUCUCGCCAUUCUGCCAAGAGCAACCUGUUGAACUGCAGCAAUUGUCUCUGUUUAAUAAUUUCAGUCUUUACUCAAAUGCAGCAUGGCGGGCUACAUGGUCUCCAUCCUGUUAGAUACUGGAGCCAGUGUGAGCCUCCUUGACCACCCCUGGAAGAACAAGUACAUACCUGGGCAAGAUGUUAGAUCCCUCAGUGAACUCAUCGACAAAGACCUUGACAUCACAGGAAACGAAGUAUCGUAUGAUAGAUAGGUUGAAGUGGUAAUAAACUUGCAAGGUAAUGAUGAUCCAGACUUAUCCAUUCGAGCACCCUUCCUGGUGAAUUGCCUGAAAUUAGACAGACCAUUAGUUGGUUUUUACUGUACUCCAAGAAUUUGUUAAGAGCAGUGAGAGCAGACAUAAACUCAUAUCUACCUUCAUCAGCCUCCUUGCUGGAGCCAUGGAGAUCGACAGUGUCAGGCAAUAGUGAGUUUCAUCCAGACCUAGAAAUGU